AGCAAUGGCGCCUAGAGCGGCGGACUGGUGAGUAACGCGUGGGUGAUCUGCCCUUGGGAUGGGGAUAGCCAUUAGAAAUAGUGGGUAAUACCGAAUACGCUUCUGUGGCCGAGGCCAUGGGAGGAAAGGCGCUACGGCGCCACCCGAGGAUGAGCCCGCGUCCCAUUAGCUAGUUGGUGAGGUAACGGCCCACCAAGGCGAUGAUGGGUAGGCGGCCUGAGAGGGUGUACGCCCACACUGGGACUGAGAUACGGCCCAGACUCCUACGGGAGGCAGCAGCUAAGAAUAUUCCGCAAUGGACGAAAGUCUGACGGAGCGACGCCGCGUGGAUGAUGAAGGCCGGAAGGUUGUAAAAUCCUUUUGUCGGGGAAGAAUAAGCAUGGGAGGGAAUGCCCGUGUGAUGACAUGAACCGGCGAAUAAGCCCCGGCUAACUACGUGCCAGCAGCCGCGGUAACACGUAGGGGGCGAGCGUUGUUCGGAAUUACUGGGCGUAAAGGGCAUGUAGGCGGUCUUGUAAGCCUGACGUGAAAGGCUAUGGCUCAACCAUGGCACUGCGCUGGGAACUGCAAGACUUGAAUCACGGAGGGGGAGCUGGAAUUCCAGGUGUAGGGGUGAAAUCUGUAGAUAUCUGGGAAGAACACCAGUGGCGAAGGCGAGCUCCUGGCCGAUGAUUGACGCUGAUGUGCGAAAGUGGGGGGGAUCAAACAGGAUUAGAGACCCUGGUAGUCCACACCAUCAACGAUGUGCACUAGUGCUGGGGCGGACGCUUCAGUGCCGGAGCCAACGGCGGUAGUGCACGCCUGGGGGGAGUAUGCUUCGCAAGGG
rnacentral:rRNA from 1 species